rnacentral:tRNA from 1 species
UUUGGAUACACCCAACCUCUGCUA